CGUGUAGGCGGUGCGAUAAGUCGGGCGUGAAAUCCCCGGGCUUAACCCGGGGCGGUCGCUCGAAACUGUCGUGCUCGAGGGUGGGAAAGGGAAGUGGAAUUCUCGGUGUAGCGGUGAAAUGCGUAGAUAUCGGGAGGAACACCUGCGGCGAAGGCGGCUUCCUGGACCAUUACUGACGCUGAGGCGCGAAAGCUAGGGGAGCAAACAGGAUUAGAUACCCUGGUAGUCCUGGCCCUAAACGUUGAGCACUGGAUGUAGCCCUUCACCGGGCUGUGUCGAAGCUAACGCAUUAAGUGCUCCGCCUGGGGAGUACGGUCGCAAGGCUGAA
rnacentral:rRNA from 1 species